GAUGCGUUCCAUUAGGCAGUUGGUGAGGUAACGGCUCACCAAACCUUCGAUGGAUAGGGGUUCUGAGAGGAAGGUCCCCCACAUUGGAACUGAGACACGGUCCAAACUCCUACGGGAGGCAGCAGUGAGGAAUAUUGGUCAAUGGGCGCAGGCCUGAACCAGCCAAGUAGCGUGAAGGAUGACUGCCCUAUGGGUUGUAAACUUCUUUUAUAUGGGAAUAAAGUUUUCCACGUGUGGAAUUUUGUAUGUACCAUAUGAAUAAGGAUCGGCUAACUCCGUGCCAGCAGCCGCGGUAAUACGGAGGAUCCGAGCGUUAUCCGGAUUUAUUGGGUUUAAAGGGAGCGUAGGUGGACAGUUAAGUCAGUUGUGAAAGUUUGCGGCUCAACCGUAAAAUUGCAGUUGAUACUGGCUGUCUUGAGUACAGUAGAGGUGGGCGGAAUUCGUGGUGUAGCGGUGAAAUGCUUAGAUAUCACGAAGAACUCCGAUUGCGAAGGCAGCUCACUGGACUGCAACUGACACUGAUGCUCGAAAGUGUGGGUAUCAAACAGGAUUAGAUACCCUGGUAGUCCACACAGUAAACGAUGAAUACUCGCUGUUUGCGAUAUACAGUAAGCGGCCAAGCGAAAGCAUUAAGUAUUCCACCUGGGGAGUACGCCGGCAACGGUGAAACUCAAAGGAAUUGACGGGGGCCCGCACAAGCGGAGGAACAUGUGGUUUAAUUCGAUGAUACGCGAGGAACCUUACCCGGGCUUAAAUUGCAUUUGAAUAUAUUGGAAACAGUAUAGCCGUAAGGCAAAUGUGAAGGUGCUGCAUGGUUGUCGUCAGCUCGUGCCGUGAGGUGUCGGCUUAAGUGCCAUAACGAGCGCAACCCUUAUCUUUAGUUACUAACAGGUCAUGCUGAGGACUCUAGAGAGACUGCCGUCGUAAGAUGUGAGGAAGGUGGGGAUGACGUCAAAUCAGCACGGCCCUUACGUCCGGGGCUACACACGUGUUACAAUGGGGGGUACAGAAGGCAGCUACCUGGUGACAGGAUGCUAAUCCCAAAAGCCUCUCUCAGUUCGGAUCGAAGUCUGCAACCCGACUUCGUGAAGCUG
rnacentral:rRNA from 1 species